rnacentral:lncRNA from 9 species
CUUGGAGUAAGUUUUAAAGGGCAACUGGCCUUGCUCAGUUGGUUAAGGACCCAUGAGCUGUGUGUAAUUCACAGAUACAGCUUGGAUCUGGCAUUGCUGUGGCUGUGGUGUAGGCCGACAGCUGUAACUCCCAUUAGACCCCUAGCCUGGGAAUCUCCAUUUGCUGUGGGUGCGGCCAUAAAAAAAAAAAAACAAACAAACAAACAAACAAACAAAAAAAAAACCCUGCAUCUUCAUUGAAACUCCUGAGGUAGCCCCUGGGCACCUGAGCCUCUGCCCUGUCCUCUGCAUCCCAGGCCGGCAGCCCCAGCAGGAAUGCCUGUUCUUGUUUCUGGUCUGCAUGGCUCAGGCCAUGUCUCCACUUGGCUGUCACUCCAGGCUCCAUAAUUCCUGAUGAAUGUGUGGUUCUCAGGGCUUCUGUUUUGGUUUUUCCACUCAGUGUGGACUGAACUGAUCACGUCACAUCCCAGGAUAUUCCACGGCCCUGAGUGGGAUAGUGGACAUCUGGGAAGAUGUUUCCUGCCUGUCCCCUGUCCCCUCAUCUUCUGCCCAUAGUCCCUCUUGUACCCUGUGAAGCCCCCCUCCCCAAUCACUUCCUAGUCCAGGUGGCUUGGAGGAAGGUAAGCCUGUGUGACACCCGAAUUCAAAGGGGAGCAUAUCACCUAGAUCAGGCCAGUCACAGGAUUCAUCUCAUUUGUUUCAGGAACCUGUUUGAGGGUGGACAUGUGACCUGGUCCCAGGAAACCUGUGCCUGGACUUGAAAGAGCACUCUUGUGGAUGAGAAGCUCUCUCCCCUCUGGGGGGGCUGGCAGGCCACUUGCUGUGGACGAACCACAGGGUCCAGCCCACAUGGAAAGCUAAGCAAAAGUAACUCCUGCGGUUUUGAGCCACUGCAUCCAGCUGGACCUGAAGCUGACUGGAGCUCCAUGGGGCUGGGCCACCUCAGAGCUCACACAAAAACCAUCAAAGCAGACACCACCUUGGCCACCAAGGCUUAUGUGUGUCAGUGUGUGCAGCACAAACUGAGGAGGAAGGAAGGCUCCAGAAAGAGAAACACCCAAAAUGAACCGUCCCUGCCCCCACCUCCCUGCAUGCACGUGAACCCAUGGUCAUGUGGGCACACACAGAAUCCAGGCCAGAAGAGUGGGGAUCCUGGUGGGGGUGGGGAAUUGCAGCCAACAGAGAAGAGGGAGGCUCCAGGUGGAUGGAACGUCUUUGCAUAUUUCACAAGGAGCUUGGAAACAAUGAAAGAUGGACUCCUCUUGCCCUGUGGAGUCAGUUUCCAAGAUACCAUCUUCCCAGACACUCAAGAGAACAGAAGAAAGAUUUCCUGCUCUAUCCCAUUUUUAAACUGUUCCCAACGGCAGUAA